UCAUGCGUCCAAAGUCCACAGUUGUUUUUCCUAUUUUCACGUAAUCGUUUGGCAAACGAUCAUCCAGGCGCGUGUAUUCGGGCGUCAUUGAGUUAAAUGAAGAGAUGCCGGAUCACUAAUGUCCUGACCCGCUGGGUUACAUCACGUACGCCAAUAUAUAUGGAGCAACUUGUUCGUAUAGACAAAACGUGAACUUUGGAACCUGUUUUGGUGACGCGUUAAAAUAACCGUUAACUGAAGAAAAAUGACUCUUACCAAGAAAAUCCUUUACAAAAUUCCAAUUGAAUGCGCAAGACCUGCGUAAAUAUGCAACGUUGUUGCACCGAUGAAAAAGGUAGUGAUCGCCUUAAUAAUAAGUGUUGACCAUGGACCAGCUAACAAAAGAGAUGAAAGAAAGUCUAGCAUGAGUGGCCUAUAUACUGUAAG